rnacentral:piRNA from 1 species
UAAAUUGUUCCCAAUUUGUAUCGAUGGAAAG